ensembl:lncRNA
GUGUUUCUUCUGCUUUCUUGGAUGCAAAGCGACCGCCCUGGUAGGGUAAAUACACCGUUCCUCAUCACGCCGGACAAGUUAAUGACACAGCUGGUUGCAGAAAGGAGCUUGUAACGUUGCGCCGAGCUGAAGAAACACCGCCUGUUAUGUGUAGGUAGCACGGAAGAGGAAUGAGGAUCCACUGCAUGAUUCCAUCAGUCUACAAUUCUAUGAUUCAACAUUUUUCUUUGCUUUGGUUGCUUUUCUUCCCCAUUUAUGCAUAUGGAACAACUUUCCCUGUUGGUCAGCUGCUGUGGCUGCAGAUAGGAGCAAGAAGGGAGCUGGAGCAGAGCAAGGGCAGGGAAAAUUGGUCCAAUUCAGUGACAGUUCCAGCCUCAAACACGGGUAGCUCUGUGUGUCUCCUGCUAUCAGUCUGUGCUACUCCUGCAGCAAGCUGGAUCCAUGACAUUGCCAGUGCUUUGGGGUGCUGGCAUCCGGGCUCUGAGCUCAUGAGGGUCCUAUGUGAGGUUAGAGAAUCACACUAUCAUGAAAUUAUGGAAUCAUUAGGGGUUAGGAGGGACCUCUGGAGAUCAUCAACCCCCUGCUAAAGCAGGUUCUCUGCAGUCAGUACAAAUGGCAAUAACCUGACUUGGAGAGGUUGCCUGUGCUCUGGCUGGCUGAAAAUUACUACGAAGAAGAUUUACAGUGGAGCACUGUCGUUGGAGUGACCAGAGAUGUGAAAGGAGAAUCAACAUGCCCAUUAAAACUGAAUGAAUGUAAAAUCCCACAGCAGAGUGGAAACUGAAACUGGGAAUGGGAAGUGCUCAGAUUGUGUCUCUGUCCUUUUGGUAUACGGGAUCCUCCCCGAGCAAGCAGCAACCUGUCGUUUCAGCAAUGCAAGGCUUCCCCUCAGUGGCAACAAGGCAGCAGGGUGUCCUGCUGCUACACCACAAUAAAAGCAUUUUGCUUUUUUUUUUUUUUUUCUUCAAAGGCAAAGUCCAGUAAAAAUGUGGCUCUGAAGUAAAGGAAAUAUUUACAGCAGAGGCUGCUGGCUGGGCUGGGUGUAAUGGUAUACAGCAAUACAAGAGGCCAAAGUGAUACUACUUUAUGAGCCAAGAGUUUUUAACUCUUUUGGUAUAGGAGACAGCUGCCUACACGAGGCACUUAGGGAACAAAUGAAACUUGAGCGGUGUCA